CCUACGGGCGGCAGCAGUGGGGAAUAUUGGGCAAUGGGCGCAAGCCUGACCCAGCAACGCCGCGUGAAGGAAGAAGGCUUUCGGGUUGUAAACUUCUUUUCUCAGGGACGAAACAAGUGACGGUACCUGAGGAAUACGCCACGGCUAACUACGUGCCAGCAGCCGCGGUAAUACGUAGGUGGCAAGCGUUAUCCGGAUUUACUGGGUGUAAAGGGGGCGUAGGCGGGAAAGCAAGUCAGAAGUGAAAAGCAUGGGCUCAACCUGUGGCCUGCAUUGGAAACUGUGUUUCUUGAGUACAGGAGAGGUAGAUGGAAUUCCUAGUGUAGCGGUGAAAUGCGUAGAUAUUAGGAGGAACACCAGUGGCGAAGGCGGCUUGCUGGACAGCAACUGACGCUGAGGCGCGAAAGCGUGGGGAGCAAACAGGAUUAGAUACCCCAGUAGUC
rnacentral:rRNA from 1 species